rnacentral:rRNA from 1 species
UAACACCAGCCCCCCGAGUGGUGGGGAUGUUUAUUUGGCCUAAAACGUCCGUAGCCGGCUCGGUAAAUCUCUCGUUAAAUUCAACGUCCUAAGCGUUGGGCUGCGAGAGAGACUGCCGAACUAGAGGGUGGGAGAGGUCAGCGGUAUUCCUGGGGUAGGGGCGAAAUCCAUUGAUCCCAGGAGGACCACCAGUGGCGAAGGCUGCUGACUAGAACACGCCUGACGGUGAGGGACGAAAGCUGGGGUAGCGAAUCGGAUUAGAUACCCGAGUAGUCCCAGCUGUAAACGAUGCAGGCUAGGUGUUGGGUUGGCCAAGCGCCGACUCAGUGCCACAGGGAAGCCAUUAAGCCUGCUGCCUGGGGAGUACGGUCGCAAGGCUG